GACCGCGUAGAACUCGGUAGGCUGCGUACGACAGGCUCAGGAACAACGACUGGAGGACGUUGCUGCUGCUUGUUGCUGCCCAGAUCGCCAGCGCAGCCGUAAUCGUAGCUGCAGCAUAGCUGCCCGUCCUACGGAGAGAAUCAUUGCCAGACAAUACUCGAUAGAUAGAGAAAGAGAUUCUUGGUGCUUCUAUCGAAUCUCGAAUGCAGAUCAGAGGAGGGUGCAAAAGAGGCUCAAGUGUAACAAAAUCAUAAUAAUAGUAAUAAUAAUAAUAAUAAUAAUAGUAAUAAUAAUAAUAAUAGUAGUAGUAAUAAUAAUAAUAGUAAUAAUAAUAAUAGUAAUAAUAAUAAUAAUAAUAAUGAUAAUAAUAACAAUAAUAAUAAAGGAAACACAAAAAAUGAAUUAUAAUGCAAUUCUGUGUACGUAUAUUUGUACGUGAGCGUGUGUCUGUCACCACGUGCGUCGUGCACCCGACCGAUAUCAAAUAUUUUAGAAAUCCGAAUUUUUUUUUUUUUUUAACGACAGUGCAUCAUUAAUGUGCGUUUCUUGAAUCGAAUGAAUCGAGACGUUAACUCGUAUUUUUUUUUUUAGUCAGAAAAAAAAAAAAACGUGAGGUGAAUCGUUACAUGCGAAUCAUUGUGAAAACGUGCAUUCAACCACUGUAAUUAAAGUGGAGGAUCGUAUUGAGCAUUCUUGAUCGAACGAUCGACGGAAAAGAAAAUAUUCAAACAAUAAUAAUAACAAUGGAUUUAAAUUUAUCUUUUAUUUUUGCGAAGAAAAAAAAAAUCAAUAAUAUCAGAAUCAAUUAAUAAUAAUAAUAAUAAAUGUUUCACUUCUUUCCAUUGCACAAAUUUUUUAUAUGAUUUUAAUGAUAAAAAUAAUUAACAUUCAAUCAAUUUUUUUCUUUUUAAUAAUAAAUUUAAAUUUGAUUUUACUUUGAAUUUAACACUAACAGACACUAAUAAUUAAGAAUUAUUUAACUUAAAACACGAUACAGAAUAUUUAUAUAAAUAUUAUCGAUUAAAUAAUAAGAUAAUAAUCGUCUUCGGAUCGAUCAAGAGUAAUUCUGAAUAUAAUUCUUAAUAACGAAACAUGCGACGUGCUCGCGAUUUAAUUCUUAGAGUUAAAAGUAAUAUUUCUUGCGCAGUGUCAAUGUCUAUUUGUCUAUGCCACACGCUGUCAAAAAGAUCGUAAUAAUAAAUAUAUAUAUAUUUAUUUAACGCCACCUUCUGUACGAUCGUUAUCUUUUAUUAAAAAAAAUUUCAAAUCAAACAAAUCAAAAAAAGAAAAAUCCAACGACUAUCGUCUUUAAAACAUUAAAAUUUUAAACACACGUGGCAUAAACGAUCAGUGCAUGUAACCUAACGCAAGAAAACGUCGUUCAUGCCUGGUGACCAGCGUGCGGCGAUCAACGAACGCAAGAGACCUCUACGAACGAAUGAACCAGGGGAUAUCUAUGUUACUAGAUUUACUUCCUCUAAUGGAUUCUAAACGAGUAUUACACGACAGAGUAAGAAAGUAAAAUCGAGGGCUUGCGUAGAUAAGAAGCGAUUGAUUCGGCCGAUGGCCGAAAAAAAAAAAAAAAAAGAAAGGAGAGAAAAGAUGGUGUCAAGUGGUGCUAUUCGAAAUAAGCAGGAGAAACAGAAGAAGAAGAAGAAGAAAAUAAAAGCGUUCGAGCUAGAAGUGACAAGUGAGUGAGAAGUAAGAAUAAAGAAAGAACAAACGUUAGAAGAAUAAAUAAAUAAAAAAAAGAGAAGAAAAGGCGGGUAGAAGAAGAUUAUAGGUGAGGUAGAAGUGACGUGAUUACCGAUGCACACAACACGCGCUAUUGCUCACCAAUUGGGCGCAGUACGGCACCUGCAAGGAUACCCAUCGUUAGGCUAGUCAGUUACCAGGCAUUCACAAGUCUGACACUGGUAUAUCCAUCGUUCGCCACUUCUGAAGACUAGAUGAUGAAGUUCUUGAUGCCUACAAGAAGCCGCGGGAUCGCAUUGCGGGCAACAUUUAUCCCGAUGACUUCCCGG